UGACAUCAGUGAGUUCCACUUGUGCAGCGACAGUCGGGCUGCCAGGCACUCGGGUCCAGGAUCUGAUACAGAAUUUACUGAGAGAAACAGAACCGCCAGGAAACACAGAACCUACAGGUGCCAAGUGGAACUGCUGAAUGAGGAGCCUGGGGAGGAGGGAGAAAAGCAGAGAAAUUGGGGCCAGAAACUGAUCCAGAAGCAGAACCGACCCAAACACAGAGACUGAGGAGCUGCACCUGAAAGGGAAGA